rnacentral:lncRNA from 1 species
AACAACACUUUCCCAUAGGAGAAUGAACAUAUCUAGCUCCAUAUCUUUCAUUCAUCCAUCAGUGGUGCCAGUGAUUCUUGCCCAGAUAUGGUCUAGAGGUCACCUGAUCUGUUCAUUUCUACCUAAGGCUGGAAAGUCUAGCUUAGGCUCAUCUGGGGAAAGGGCACCAUGAAAGGCCUGGACCUAGACUAUGACAGCUAAGAAAGAGAAUCGGGAAGACAUAAAGAACCAGAAUGCAUCACUCGAAGCAACUGCACUGAAUCCUGGCAGAUAUGUGCUCUGCUUUCCUGAGUAACCCUGGAGAAUUAGCAGCCAUUGCCAGGGCCCCUGAAAAGCUCUUGAGAAGGUCAGUCUUGUGCCCUGCAUUCCAAACCUCCCUAUUCUUUGAGUGUUCGCUUUUCACCCCAUUUAUUGUUCUCUAGCUAUUAAACUUUCUCCAGCUGUCAUCUGCCUUCUAAACUCUCUCCCUUCCCUGCCUGUUCUACUGAUGCACACAGAGAUUUGCCUCACUUCUUCACUGAGUUAAUGCUGCAGUCCCAUGGGUUCCCACCUGCUGUGACUGAUUAAAACACAUCUUAAGGGAUGAAUAAGACCUGAGGAAUAUUUGCAGUUUGGAAAAGUGGUCUAAUGUCUUACCUGAUCUUCUAGGACCUGCACUAUGUAGACAGGAUUGCAACCUCCUGUGUGCAUGAAGUCCCCUUUGUAAGCUAGGGGUUGCUAAACAAAGCCUUGCUUCAGUGGAAGUCACAUGUAAGCAGUCAUGGCCUUCUACGUGACAAGAGCCUCGUGGACAUCCCAAAGUCGUGGUUUUGGAGCUAAAGAAGAAUCCUCUAAUUACCAGAUCAAAUUCCUGAUUCUGUGCUGUAAAUGGAAGAGAUAUUUUUAUGUUAGGAAGGACCUGGGCUCAAUCAGCAUCAUAAAGUGAUACAGGAUGAGAAAAGAAGAGCUGUGAGCUGAGACAAGUCUUGG